CCACCUGCUACUCCUCUCUGAGCUACUUUUCCAGGUUCCACAGGGAGAGGUUCAGCUGUCCGUGGUAGACAUGAGGGUAGAGAAUGAGGUGGUUGGGUUCCACUUACCUUUCUAUCAUCUUGCAGUAUGGAUGUCUCUUGACUGGUACCGUGUAGACUUUUGAGGGCACACAGGAGUCUGCAGAGAGAUACUGGGGACAUUGAGCAGCAGCAGUGGGGUUGGGAGGCAGAAAUGAGGACAGGAACAUUUACCUUGUGUUUCUCUCAGCUUCUCAGAUGACCAAGAUGGUGCUGCAGAUGGUGCUGAGGAUGGAGAACCCACCAAGCCCCGCUAGGAGCCACCUAGACUGGAUGCAGAGCAUGGCCCCAGCACCCGCAGAGCAGACACUGCGAUGACAACGGACGACACAGAAGUGCCCGCUAUGACUCUAGCACCGGGCCACGCCGCUCUGGAAACUCAAACGCUGAGCGCUGAGACCUCUUCUAGGGCCUCAACCCCAGCCGGCCCCAUUCCAGAAGCAGAGACCAGGGGAGCCAAGAGAAUUUCCCCUGCAAGAGAGACCAGGAGUUUCACAAAAACAUCUCCCAACUUCAUGGUGCUGAUCGCCACCUCCGUGGAGACAUCAGCCGCCAGUGGCAGCCCCGAGGGAGCUGGAAUGACCACAGUUCAGACCAUCACAGGCAGUGAUCCCGAGGAAGCCAUCUUUGACACCCUUUGCACCGAUGACAUCUCUGAAGAGGCAAAGACACUCACAAUGGACAUAU
rnacentral:misc_RNA from 1 species